CUUGUGCCUCCAGCAAUAAAGAUGGAUGGAAGAGCACUCCCAGACUAUACCUUCUCCUUUUCAAGGAGUGCAACUUUGUCCAGUUCUGGAAGACCUUUCCCAUUCCCAGACACGUGAACUACCUGCCCACAGGACUUCCAUUUUGCUGGGAUUCAGUUUCAGGUUAUUUACCCUGACUGCAUCCAGGCAACGAUGCAAGAAUUGCACAGCCACACCUGGCACAGCCACACCUGACUAAGAUGUAAAAGAGAAGCCCAGGCAGGUAUCACCAGCAAACAGAUGCCACCAUGCUCGAAAUCCCCAAAUGAGAACUUGAUAGGCCUUCUUAAAUUACCGUCUCCUGUUUUAUCUCCCCUCUUAAUUCUUUGGUUUAACUAUUCUAUAUGGCUUGGCUCUGAGGCUUAUUAGAACCCCAUUGACAUACAGCCAUCCCCACAACUACGCCUAUGUCUUGUCCUCUCCUCUGCACAUAAAACUUUGUUUGGCCAUCUAUGGGCUCCUGCUUAUACCCCAUGCUUAACAUCUGGUUUGAAUCAAAGAAAUGUAGGGUUGAAAGUGACCACGAGGGUCAUCUAGUCCAACCCCCUGCAAAGCAGGAAUCUUUUACCCAACAUGGGGCUCAAACCCACGACCCUGAGAUCCCAGGACUUCAGAAACUCCUCCUUUGCCCUCUCCUGCUGGGAUCCUGUGCCUGCCUCUUGGCCACUUAGAAUCAGGCUACUCAGCUUGCCUUUGGACCCUUCGAGGUGUUUGUUUGUCAUGACAGGGAAAUGCAGAGGAAAGGUUGGGAACAGCAAUUGCUUGAAGCAACGUGAUCUAACCUCCUUGCAAACCGAUCAGGAUGAAUGCUCCCAAGGUGCUCCUUGUCUCAGUAGGCCACACCUGUCCUCGCUUAACACCCUCUUUGUGAUUUCACCUCGCAGGUAUGUGUCCUUGAACUCUGACGAUAUCUGGAGGGAGGAUAGAACAGGGUACAAAAAUAAUUCUACUUUAAAUAUGCAAACCUUACAUUUACUAUUCUGCACACUUUUGACUCAUGCCCUGACCACUGAUGGCAUACGGCCCCUGGAAGGCUGCCCACAAGGUAAUGUGGCCCUGAGCCUGAAGAAGUCCAUGCAGAGCUUGUCUGAGGCCCUGGGCAGGAGUCCCCAGUCAGCUGGGAGGCACAGAGCUUUUUUGGCAUGACAGUGUUAAGUCCGGCAGGCCUCUGGCAGGGCCCUCUGGGUACCUGCCCCACCCCUACCCCCCAGGCACGUGUACCCACCUGCCCACCCCCUUCUACAGAGGUACAGUCAACACAUUAUUUGUAGAGGUGCUUUUAGUAGAGAAAGAUGCAGACUUUCAACAGGGAACUCUGGGUAUGUUUAGCUUGGAAAAGAGGAGACUGAGAGGAGAAAGGAUAGCUAUCUUCAAAUAUCUAAAGGGCUGGCACUUGGAAGAUGGAGCAAGCUUGUUUUCUCCUGCUCUGUAGGGUAGGACUGGAACCAAUGGAUUCAAAUGACAAGGAAGGAACCCCAAACUAAACCUGAGGAGAAAACUUUAUGACAGUAUGAGCUGUUUCACAGUGCAGCAGUCUCACUCGGGAGGAUGUGGGCUCUCCUUCCUUGGAGGUUUUUAAACAGAGGUUAGAUGGCCAUCUGCCAUGGAUGCUUCCACUGAGAUUCCUGCAUUGCUGGGGGUUGGACUAGAUGACACCGGGAGUCCCUUCCAACUGUACAAUAUAAUUCUAGAUUUGAGUCUAGUGUGUGUGGCUAGAGCAGAUAGACUACAAUUCCCACAAUGCAUUUAACCAACAAUGACUCCUGGAGCGGAGUACUGUACUGUAUGAGACUCGGGAAUUCUGAAGCCGAAAGACUACAACUCCCAGAAUGCCCGGUUUCUUUACGAGCUCCUUCAUUGGCAGAUUAAGGCAUCCUGCUGGAGAGGAAGUGGGUGGGGCUAAUGCGCACGUGGGUUGUAUGGAAGCGCGUGUAUAUCGGGAGGAGGAAGCUCUUUUAAUCCGUCUGCAGGUAUAGUGCUAACGCUUUCAUAACCCGCAGCAAUGUUUCUGCAGUACUACCUCGAUGAACAAGGAAAUAGGGUCUACACUCUCAAGGUAAGGAUUUUACUUUAAUGGCGUUUUGUCUCUCCGCCCCCCCCCCCAAAUUCUUAGUCCCUUUCUUCUUCCUGAUGCCCCCCAAAUCCAGAUGCUAUGCAUAUCAAUUCUUGUUAUGCUCCAUCUAAUACUAAUACACUAAUAAUUUUAUUAUUUAUACCCCACCUAUAUGGCUGGGUUGCCCUAGCCACCCAUAUCUGGCUGCAAUUAAUCUUCUUUCCCUAUUGUUUCUUUUAAAGAUCGUCAUUGGUUUAAAUGUGGAAUUAUCUGUGCAAAAUCUGCAUGCUACUUUGAUACCCAGAUCAUAAUUUAACAUUGUGGUAAUUGCAUUGCUUUCGUUUGUGUAUUCCCCCCACCCUUCAGUUAAUUAAAUACUUGUUUUUGGUCUCGUGAAUGGAUUGGGGAGGAGUGUAGGAGGAAAAAGAUUGUACAGUACAGGUCUAAGUGGUCUGUUGAAAUCUUAAGAAAAGAGACAUGGGGGAGUUCUCGCGAUCAUGAAAAAUUGUAUUUUUAUUAACUUGUUUGUUUCUUAGAAUAUAAGCACGUGGGUAGGGAAUGCCUUGUUUUGAUUUCAUGAAAGGCACUCUAGGAGUGUUGCAAGGCUCAGAUUGGGAAGAGGAGAAGCAUGUAUGUCCUUUUCAGUACCUUGGAAGAAAGGUUGGACAUGAAGAAAAUAAAAGUGAUUUUAAGAUGGAAUGUGUAGCUUUUAGGGCUGGUUUGGUUUUUCUAGGAUUGUAGUUGCUCACAUAUAGACUGCCAAUAUUAACAUACACAUUUAAGCCAAGAUUGGUGGUAUAUUGUUGUUGUUCUUAAUGUCAGCUGACAAUGUUUACACACAUACAUAUACAGUGGUACCUCGAGUUAAGUACUUAAUUCGUUCCGGAGGUCCGUACUUAACCUGAAACUGUUCUUAACCUGAAGCACCACUUUAGCUAAUGGGGCCUCCUGCUGCUGCCGCACCGCUGGAGCCCGAUUUCUGUUCUUAUCCUGAAGCAAAGUUCUUAACCUGAAGCAUUAUUUCUGGGUUAGCAGAGUGUGUAACCUGAAGCGUAUGUAACCCGAGGUACCACUGUACACACACACAUAUAUAUAUAUAUAUAUAUACACACACACACACAUACAUAUUUAAAACCAAGACUUGUAUGCUCACAAAUUGCUGUGCCUUCUCUUCCCUGCUUUGCAGAAGGCGGAUCCCACUGGCCAGCCAACGUGUUCAGCCCAUCCUGCUCGCUUUUCUCCAGAUGACAAAUAUUCCCGACACAGGAUCACCAUCAAGAAACGCUUUGGAGUCUUGAUGACCCAGCAGCCUCGGCUCGUUGUGUAAACUGCUUGUCAUCUGUUCUGGUAGGGACCUCUGCAGCCCAUGGAGAUGAGACAAGCUUCCAGCUCCAAAGCAGCCUCGAAGAUGUUGACACAGAAAACAAAAGCACCAGAUCUGCAUUUCUUCAUUCCACUUUAUCACUCGGACUUCUAGAGAGCCACUAAUGAUGUGCGAGGGAACUCCUGCAAUCUUCAAAUGAGCUUGAAUUCCUUCAGUUGCACCUGCUUGCCCCCUUGAUUCUGGAAAUAAAGCAAAUGAAAUAUUUCAUUUUAUUCCUUUAACAUAAGAA